UCUCUCUCUCUCUCUCUCUCUCUCUCUCUCUCUGUAUCUCUCUCUUUCAUGUCAUCCCUGGAGUGCACACCUUAUCUUCGGAAUGAAAAAGAAGACACUGCAGGGAGUCUUCUGAAACAUCCUGAUUGUGUGCCGUCACACAGAGAACCCUGAGAGCUCAUAGAAACCUUCCUGAAGAGAAGGCGAAUCCUGCGCUCGAGCGAUCCGGGGAAGAUGAGCAGGAUGACGCCUCGGUUACCAUAGCGACGGGGAAUGGAAAUGAACGCAAUUAAAGAUUAAUUAGUUAAUUAGCAUACAGGAGUUUUAUGGGAAAGUGAGUGUGUACAGUUCAAACUUAAAAUAGAGAAGAACAGGAAGGAGACUCUGAGUUGAGAUCUUUAUCCUCCAUGAACUCAUUCCUGAACUCGAUAAUUAACCCUGACAUCACUGACUCCUGGAAUUCAUUAUCUGUUUGGUUUAUUUUAUUAGGUUUUAUUAUUAUUUGUGAUUCUUUGUUCACAUGUAGGACAUGUAGAUCAUGUAGUAUUUAACACCUCUGUGCAGUUAUGGAAGCUUCUUCAAAGGUUGUUCAUCAGUUAAAAGGUAACGAAAAGUUCUUAACUCCCUGAAAAGGUUAGUUGUGGACCACUUUAGAAACCUGCCAAUGAUGUAGCAUUUGUUUUAACUAUUAAUUGGUGUCCUUAAUUAAGGCUUCGUUAUCUUCCUGAAAAGAUUCUACUGGGGUUUUA